GACGAACGCUGGCGGCGUGCCUAAUACAUGCAAGUAGAACGCACAGUUUAUACCGUAGCUUGCUACACCAUAAACUGUGAGUUGCGAACGGGUGAGUAACGCGUAGGUAACCUGCCUGGUAGCGGGGGAUAACUAUUGGAAACGAUAGCUAAUACCGCAUAAUAUUAAUUAUUGCAUGAUAAUUAAUUGAAAGGUGCAAUUGCACCACUACCAGAUGGACCUGCGUUGUAUUAGCUAGUAGGUGAGGUAACGGCUCACCUAGGCGACGAUACAUAGCCGACCUGAGAGGGUGAUCGGCCACACUGGGACUGAGACACGGCCCAGACUCCUACGGGAGGCAGCAGUAGGGAAUCUUCGGCAAUGGACGAAAGUCUGACCGAGCAACGUCGCGUGAGUGAAGAAGGUUUUCGGAUCGUAAAGCUCUGUUGUAAGAGAAGAACGGGUGUGAGAGUGGAAAGUUCACACUGUGACGGUAUCUUACCAGAAAGGGACGGCUAACUACGUGCCAGCAGCCGCGGUAAUACGUAGGUCCCGAGCGUUGUCCGGAUUUAUUGGGCGUAAAGCGAGCGCAGGCGGUUAGAUAAGUCUGAAGUUAAAGGCUGUGGCUUAACCAUAGUACGCUUUGGAAACUGUUUAACUUGAGUGCAGAAGGGGAGAGUGGAAUUCCAUGUGUAGCGGUGAAAUGCGUAGAUAUAUGGAGGAACACCGGUGGCGAAAGCGGCUCUCUGGUCUGUAACUGACGCUGAGGCUCGAAAGCGUGGGGAGCGAACAGG
rnacentral:rRNA from 1 species